rnacentral:rRNA from 1 species
CAUCGCCGCGGUAAUACGGAGGGAGCUAGCGUUGUUCGGAAUUACUGGGCGUAAAGCGCGCGUAGGCGGUUACUCAAGUCAGAGGUGAAAGCCCGGGGCUCAACCCCGGAACUGCCUUUGAAACUAGGUGACUAGAAUCUUGGAGAGGUCAGUGGAAUUCCGAGUGUAGAGGUGAAAUUCGUAGAUAUUCGGAAGAACACCAGUGGCGAAGGCGACUGACUGGACAAGUAUUGGCGCUGAGGUGCGAAAGCGUGGGGAGCAAACAGGAUUAGAUACCCCCGUAGUCCCUGUCUCUUAUACA